rnacentral:tRNA from 1 species
GGGGUUGUGGCUCAGUGGCAGAGAUGUACUUGGCAUGCAGAAGGUCCCAGGUUCAAUCCCAGGCUUCUCUA